AGUGAACGCUGGCGGUAGGCCUAACCCAUGCAAGUCGAACGGCAGCACAGUAAGAGCUUGCUCUUACGGGUGGCGAGUGGCGGACGGGUGAGGAAUACAUCGGAAUCUACUUUUUCGUGGGGAUAACGUAGGGAAACUUACGCUAAUACCGCAUACGACCUACGGGUGAAAGCAGGGGAUCUUCGGACCUUGCGCGAUUGAAUGAGCCGAUGUCGGAUUAGCUAGUUGGCGGGGUAAAGGCCCACCAAGGCGACGAUCCGUAGCUGGUCUGAGAGGAUGAUCAGCCACACUGGAACUGAGACACGGUCCAGACUCCUACGGGAGGCAGCAGUGGGGAAUAUUGGACAAUGGGCGCAAGCCUGAUCCAGCCAUACCGCGUGGGUGAAGAAGGCCUUCGGGUUGUAAAGCCCUUUUGUUGGGAAAGAAAAGCAGCAGGUUAAUACCCCGCUGUUCUGACGGUACCCAAAGAAUAAGCACCGGCUAACUUCGUG
rnacentral:rRNA from 1 species